rnacentral:rRNA from 1 species
UGAACGCUGGCGGUAGGCCUAACACAUGCAAGUCGACCGGCAGCACAGUAAGAGCUUGCUCUUACGGGUGGCGAGUGGCGGACGGGAGAGGCAUACAUCGGAAUCUACUUUUUCGUGGGGGAUAACGUAGGGAAACUUACGCUAAUACCGCAUACGACCUACGGGUGAAAGCAGGGGAUCUUCGGACCUUGCGCGAUUGAAUGAGCCGAUGUCGGAUUAGCUAGUUGGCGGGGUAAAGGCCCACCAAGGCGACGAUCCGUAGCUGGUCUGAGAGGAUGAUCAGCCACACUGGAACUGAGACACGGUCCAGACUCCUACGGGAGGCAGCAGUGGGGAAUAUUGGACAAUGGGCGCAAGCCUGAUCCAGCCAUACCGCGUGGGUGAAGAAGGCCUUCGGGUUGUAAAGCCCUUUUGUUGGGAAAGAAAAGCAGCAGGUUAAUACCCCGCUGUUCUGACGGUACCCAAAGAAUAAGCACCGGCUAACUUCGUG